rnacentral:misc_RNA from 1 species
UGAUAGCUCUAAUGUCGAUGU